rnacentral:rRNA from 1 species
GACGAACGCUGGCGGCGGGCUUAACACAUGCAAGUCGAACGGACAGGCCCUGCUUUUGUAGGGUGCUCGAUUGGCGAACGGGUGCGUACCACGUGUGUAAAUUGCCCUUGACUUUGGUGGAACUUUAGGAAACUCGGGCUAAUACGGGAUAGGAGCUGCUGCAGCAUGGGGGGGGGUGGAAAUUUCCGGCGGUUGGGGAUGGACUGGCGGCUGAUCAGCUUGCUGGUGGGGUUGGGGAUUACCAAGGCUUGGACGGGUAGCCGGCCUGAGAGGGGGAACGGCCACAUCGGGACUGAGAUACGGCCCAGACUCGAAUGGGAGGCAGAGGUGGGGAAUAGUGCACAAGGGGCGGAAGGCUGGUGUGGCAACGCCGCGUGCGGGGUGAGGGGCAGCGGGUUGUAAACCGCUGUCGCCUGGGCCGAAGCGUGAGUGACGGUAAUGGGUAAAGAAGCACCGGCUAACUACGUG